UACAUAGGGGGCAAGCGUUGUCCGGAAUCAUUGGGCGUAAAGCGCGCGUAGGCGGCCCGGUAAGUCCGUUGUGAAAGUCAAAGGCUCAACCUUUGAACGCCGAUGGAUACUGCCGGGCUAGAGUCCGGAAGAGGCGAGUGGAAUUCCUGGUGUAGCGGUGGAAUGCGCAGAUAUCAGGAGGAACACCAAUAGCGAAGGCAGCUCGCUGGGACGGUACUGACGCUGAGGCGCGAAAGCGUGGGGAGCGAACAGG
rnacentral:rRNA from 1 species